CAGUCGCUGCUGUGGGUCAUUGGAUUCGUACCUACCUUGAGGGGGUCCUUGUUCGGUUCGCAUGAAGAGCAAAGGAGCCAUUCACUGAGACGGUCUAGUCUUAAAUCCCCUGACGAAGCCAAUGAUUGACGAAACUAGUUGGGUAGACUUGAUCUUUUGACCUGUAUCUCUAUGUUUUGCUCCCACGUUCAGAUUUGCUCUGUUAUAAUGCUUGAACCAAAUUUUAUUGUUUUGUAAUCAAUAAAAUUUAUAUUUUUAUAUUA